rnacentral:rRNA from 1 species
AACGAACGCUGGCGGCAGGCUUAACACAUGCAAGUCGAACGGGUGUAGCAAUAUAUCAGUGGCAGACGGGUGAGUAACACGUGGGAACUUUCCUAGGGGUACGGAACAACUCAGGGAAACUUGAGCUAAUACCGUAUACGUCCGUGAGGAGAAAGAUUUAUCGCCCUUAGACGGGCCCGCGUCGGAUUAGCUAGUUGGUGGGGUAACGGCCUACCAAGGCGACGAUCCGUAGCUGAUCUUAGAGGAUGAUCAGCCACACUGGGACUGAGACACGGCCCAGACUCCUACGGGAGGCAGCAGUGGGGAAUCUUGGACAAUGGGCGCAAGCCUGAUCCAGCCAUGCCGCGUGAGUGAAGAAGGUCUUCGGAUUGUAAAGCUCUUUUGCCAGGGACGAUAAUGACGGUACCUGGAGAAUAAGCCCCGGCAAACUUCGUGCCAGCCGCCGCCGUAA